rnacentral:rRNA from 1 species
AGAGUUUGAUCCUGGCUCAGGACGAACGCUGGCGGCGUGCUUAACACAUGCAAGUCGAACGGUAAGGCCCUUCGGGGUACACGAGUGGCGAACGGGUGAGUAACACGUGGGUGAUCUGCCCUGCACUUCGGGAUAAGCCUGGGAAACUGGGUCUAAUACCGGAUAGGACUCCUGGCUUCAUGGUUGGGGGUGUAAAGCUUUUGCGGUGUGGGAUGGGCCCGCGGCCUAUCAGCUUGUUGGUGGGGUAAUGGCCUACCAAGGCGACGACGGGUAGCCGGCCUGAGAGGGUGACCGGCCACACUGGGACUGAGAUACGGCCCAGACUCCUACGGGAGGCAGCAGUGGGGAAUAUUGCACAAUGGGCGCAAGCCUGAUGCAGCGACGCCGCGUGAGGGAUGACGGCCUUCGGGUUGUAAACCUCUUUCAAUAGGGACGAAGCGCAAGUGACGGUACCUAUAGAAGAAGGGCCGGCCAACUACGUGCCAGCAGCCGCGGUAAUACGUAGGGUCCGAGCGUUGUCCGGAAUUACUGGGCGUAAAGAGCUCGUAGGUGGUUUGUCGCGUUGUCCGUGAAAACUCACAGCUUAACUGUGGGCGUGCGGGCGAUACGGGCAGACUGGAGUACUGCAGGGGAGACUGGAAUUCCUGGUGUAGCGGUGGAAUGCGCAGAUAUCAGGA